UACGUAGGGUGCGAGCGUUAAUCGGAAUUACUGGGCGUAAAGCGUGCGCAGGCGGUUAUUUAAGUCAGGUGUGAAAGCCCUGGGCUUAACCUAGGAAUUGCGCUUGAGACUGGAUAGCUUGGAGUGCGGCAGAGGGAGGUGGAAUUCCACGUGUAGCAGUGAAAUGCGUAGAGAUGUGGAGGAACACCGAUGGCGAAGGCAGCCUCCUGGGCCGGAACUGACGCUGAGGAGCGAAAGCGUGGGUAGCAAACAGGAUAUGA
rnacentral:rRNA from 1 species